rnacentral:pre_miRNA from 21 species
UGAGCCGUCUAAUGACACGCGCUAAGCAGGAACCGGGACUUGGUACACAUUCGCUAGCAGUCAGGUACCUGAAGUAGCGCGCGUUAUUCGGCUCA